UUAGAUGAGCAGCAGCAGGUCUCCUCCCCUUGUUAAAUGUUGUACUUUGUGGAUACCCAUGAAUCUUGUAACACUUAUCAAUUAAGUGCCCAAAUUUCUUACAGUAUCUACAUAACAAAGAGUCUCUAGCUUGGUCAAAGUUAACUCUUUGUCUGAAAUGAGAAGAAUUAGGCACUGUGGUCUUAUUGAAUCCAGCUGAAUUUUUGUUUGUCUGGACAUUGAAAGACAUAGAGUCUGGAUUAAACUGAGAGAGGGACUGGACUUUUCUCUGCUUCUCAUCAUUGAGGACCAUAUUGUAGACACUGUCAAGGGUAGGAGGAGGCUGCAU
rnacentral:lncRNA from 1 species